rnacentral:rRNA from 1 species
UACGGAGGAUGCGAGCGUUAUCCGGAUUUAUUGGGUUUAAAGGGUGCGUAGGCGGGCUGUUAAGUCAGCGGUAAAGCCCGGGGCUCAACCCCGGCGAGCCGUUGAAACUGGCUGUCUUGAGAUGUCGAGAGGUAUGCGGAAUGCGCAGUGUAGCGGUGAAAUGCUUAGAUAUUGCGCAGAACUCCGAUUGCGAAGGCAGCAUACCGGCGGCGAUCUGACGCUGAGGCACGAAAGCGUGGGUAUCGAACAGG